rnacentral:lncRNA from 1 species
AGAUGAUUUUCACACUCUAGUUUGAUCAUGAGCCCCAUAAUAAGCUGCUUCAGAUUGUAAUAUAGACACAGUAAUGUAUGCCUCCAGGCUGAUUCACACCUUCCUCGUUAGUCUUGAGGUUUGAGAUUCCCUGUUUGUGUCUGCAGGAUUCAGAUAGUGUGAGUAUAGUCUGUGUUCUUGUGUUGGAAUUUUUCUAUCGCUUGCACAAAAACAGGGUAGAAAGAUUUCUGGGGCUGGCGAGAUGGCUCAGAGGUUGAGAGCACUGACUGCUCUUCCUGAUGUCCUGAGCUCGAUUCCCAGCAACCCCAUGGUGGCUCACAACCAUCUGUAAGGGAUCUGAUACCCUCUUCUGGU